UACGUAGGGCGCAAGCGUUAUCCGGAAUUAUUGGGCGUAAAGAGCUCGUAGGCGGUUUGUCGCGUCUGCCGUGAAAGUCCGGGGCUCAACUCCGGAUCUGCGGUGGGUACGGGCAGACUAGAGUGAUGUAGGGGAGACUGGAAUUCCUGGUGUAGCGGUGAAAUGCGCAGAUAUCAGGAGGAACACCGGUGGCGAAGGCAGGUCUCUGGGCCGAUACUGACGCUGAGGAGCGAAAGCGUGGGGAGCGAACAGG
rnacentral:rRNA from 1 species